UAGGGAAUCUUCGGCAAUGGGGGCAACCCUGACCGAGCAACGCCGCGUGAGUGAAGAAGGUUCUCGGAUCGUUAAAGCUCUGUUGUAAGAGAAGAACGUGUGUGAGAGUGGAAAGUUCACACAGUGACGGUAACUUACCAGAAAGGGACGGCUAACUACGUGCCAC
rnacentral:rRNA from 1 species